GACGAACGCUGGCGGCGUGCCUAACACAUGCAAGUCGAACGGAAGUAAGAGCUUCGGUUUUUGCUUUAGUGGCGAACGGGUGAGUAACGCGUGAGGAACCUGCCUUUCAGUGGGGGACAACAGUUGGAAACGACUGCUAAUACCGCAUAAUGUUUCCGGUCCGCAUGGACUGGAAACCAAAGCUUUAUGUGCUGAAAGAUGGCCUCGCGUCUGAUUAGAUAGUUGGUGGGGUAACGGCCUACCAAGUCAACGAUCAGUAGCUGGUCUGAGAGGACGAUCAGCCACACUGGGACUGAGACACGGCCCAG
rnacentral:rRNA from 1 species